ensembl:lncRNA
AUGGUUUACUAUUAACUGUCAGGUUUCGCUCUCAAAGUGCCCUCGAUGUGCAUUUGAUGGACAAGUUCGUUGUACGUUUCAAUUUCCCCAGGAGAAGUCUUAAAUGCUGUGUUAACUGCCUACUGCACCAAGAGCUGCGUGUCAGAUCGUUUAAUGGCAUUCAGGAAUAACGUCCGAUACAAAAGAAGAUGCCAGGCAGUCUUACGUGCAGUCUCGUGAAACGCCGGGGCUUUGCACCCGGUGUGUUGCCCCGCUACUGCUGAAUUGAUAGAUGGGGUGGAGCGGACGAAAGCGAGUCUCGGAGUCUUAGAGAUUUCCAGCUGCAUAGUCACCAGGAUGUGUUCGCUCCAAGGUCAACUAGUUAACUCUGCUAUGAUGCGUCAUCCGGUUUCAAGGCCAUGUUGAAGCAACGCAUGGAGGGAGUGGCCACGAUGAUGAAGGGCCAUGGGUCGGAUUGCAUACUGCGGGCUGCAUGGUCAAGUUCAAGUUGGGCUGGCUAGUAAAACGGAGGGGGCGCAUUCUGCAGUGUCUGCCGCGUGGGGCGCCCCCCCCCCCCCCCCCCCGUCUUUGAUCUCCC